CAGCCUAUGGCACAAAGGGAAGGGGACAGCCAAGUCUGGCCUCCACCCCCAGACCAAAUGAGCCCUCGUCCUCUGCCUCCCUCUUUCUAGUGAGGGUGAUUACCCAGCCAGGAGACCAGAGAACUUUCCAAUAUUGGCCCUUCUUUUCCAGCAAUUUGUAUAAUUGGAAAACACAACCCGCCCCUUUUCCGAACAGCCCAGAAACUCAUUUCCCUAAUCGAGUCUAUUCUUUUCACACAUCAUCCCACCUGGGAUGACUGCCAGCAGCUACUUCAGGUUCUUUUCACCAUAGAAGAGAGGGACCAGAUCCUCUUGGAAGCCCAGAAAAAUGUUCCCAGUUUGGAUGGGCACUCCACCAACCAGCCCAACCUCAUAGAUGAGGCAUUCCUGUUAAACUGCCCCAAUUGGGACUACAAUCAACCUGAAGCUAAGUUUUGGAGUUUUGCAUUCAUGCAAAGGGUAAUCUGUCCAAACCUGGGGUUUCAUCUCAAAGCUCUCCCACAACAACCCAGGACCUCUCAUCUCCAAGUCUGGCUUUCAAUCUGCUGCACCACCUCACUGACUCCACAUUCUGUGUUUCUUCCCAACUUAAUCUGUUUACCUCAAUUAAAGACUUAUUAGAACUAC